rnacentral:rRNA from 1 species
UACAGAGGGUGCAAGCGUUAAUCGGAAUUACUGGGCGUAAAGCGUGCGUAGACGGUUAUUUAAGUCAGGUGUGAAAGCCCCGGGCUCAACCUGGGAAUUGCAUUUGAGACUGAAUAGCUAGGGUGCGGAAGAGGGAAGCGGAAUUUCCGGUGUAGCGGUGAAAUGCGUAGAUAUCAGGAGGAACACCGGUGGCGAAGGCGGCUAUCUGGACAGAAACUGACGCUGAGGCGCGAAAGCUAGGGGAGCAAACAGG